UACGUAGGGUGCGAGCGUUAAUCGGAAUUACUGGGCGUAAAGCGUGCGCAGGCGGUUUUGUAAGCCAGAUGUGAAAUCCCCGGGCUUAACCUGGGAAUGGCAUUUGGGACUGCAAGGCUUGAGUUUGGCAGAGGAGACUGGAAUUCCUGGUGUAGCAGUGAAAUGCGUAGAGAUGUGGAGGAAUACCGAUGGCGAAGGCAGCCCCUGGGCCAAUACUGCGCUCAUGCACGAAAGCGUGGGGAGCAAACAGG
rnacentral:rRNA from 1 species